GAGGUAUCAGAAGUGCGAAUGCUGACAUAAGUAACGAUAAAGCGGGUGAAAAGCCCGCUCGCCGGAAGACCAAGGGUUCCUGUCCAACGUUAAUCGGGGCAGGGUGAGUCGACCCCUAAGGCGAGGCCGAAAGGCGUAGUCGAUGGGAAACAGGUUAAUAUUCCUGUACUUGGUGUUACUGCGAAGGGGGGACGGAGAAGGCUAUGUUGGCCGGGCGACGGUUGUCCCGGUUUAAGCGUGUAGGCUGGUUUUCCAGGCAAAUCCGGAAAAUCAAGGCUGAGGCGUGAUGACGAGGCACUACGGUGCUGAAGCAACAAAUGCCCUGCUUCCAGGAAAAGCCUCUAAGCAUCAGGUAACAUCAAAUCGUACCCCAAACCGACACAGGUGGUCAGGUAGAGAAUACCAAGGCGCUUGAGAGAACUCGGGUGAAGGAACUAGGCAAAAUGGUGCCGUAACUUCGGGAGAAGGCACGCUGAUAUGUAGGUGAAGUUUUUUUCUUUUGGAGCUGAAAUCAGUCGAAGAUACCAGCUGGCUGCAACUGUUUAUUAAAAACACAGCACUGUGCAAACACGAAAGUGGACGUAUACGGUGUGACGCCUGCCCGGUGCCGGAAGGUUAAUUGAUGGGGUUAGCGCAAGCGAAGCUCUUGAUCGAAGCCCCGGUAAACGGCGGCCGUAACUAUAACGGUCCUAAGGUAGCGAAAUUCCUUGUCGGGUAAGUUCCGACCUGCACGAAUGGCGUAAUGAUGGCCAGGCUGUCUCCACCCGAGACUCAGUGAAAUUGAACUCGCUGUGAAGAUGCAGUGUACCCGCGGCAAGACGGAAAGACCCCGUGAACCUUUACUAUAGCUUGACACUGAACAUUGAGCCUUGAUGUGUAGGAUAGGUGGGAGGCUUUGAAGUGUGGACGCCAGUCUGCAUGGAGCCGACCUUGAAAUACCACCCUUUAAUGUUUGAUGUUCUAACGUGGACCCGUAAUCCGGGUUGCGGACAGUGUCUGGUGGGUAGUUUGACUGGGGCGGUCUCCUCCUAAAGAGUAACGGAGGAGCACGAAGGUUGGCUAAUCCUGGUCGGACAUCAGGAGGUUAGUGCAAUGGCAUAAGCCAGCUUGACUGCGAGCGUGACGGCGCGAGCAGGUGCGAAAGCAGGUCAUAGUGAUCCGGUGGUUCUGAAUGGAAGGGCCAUCGCUCAACGGAUAAAAGGUACUCCGGGGAUAACAGGCUGAUACCGCCCAAGAGUUCAUAUCGACGGCGGUGUUUGGCACCUCGAUGUCGGCUCAUCACAUCCUGGGGCUGAAGUAGGUCCCAAGGGUAUGGCUGUUCGCCAUUUAAAGUGGUACGCGAGCUGGGUUUAGAACGUCGUGAGACAGUUCGGUCCCUAUCUGCCGUGGGCGCUGGAGAAUUGAGGGGGGCUGCUCCUAGUACGAGAGGACCGGAGUGGACGCAUCACUGGUGUUCGGGUUGUCAUGCCAAUGGCACUGCCCGGUAGCUAAAUGCGGAAGAGAUAAGUGCUGAAAGCAUCUAAGCACGAAACUUGCCCCGAGAUGAGUUCUCCCUGAC
rnacentral:rRNA from 1 species